CCAACUUAAAUUACGACGAUAAUUUAUAAUUUACGAUUUCAUGAGUUAAACAAGAAGGCUAAUAUAGUUGAUAAUUCACUUAAAGUACAAAAUGUCAACAUUUCACCCAAAAUUUCAUUAAGUCACGUUUAAGAGUGUUAGUAUGGAAAAAUUUCUGAUUUUUGGAUUGCAAAAUAAAAAGAGAAAAGAGAAAACAAAGCUAUGGCCAAUUUCCCCCCAUUAAUGGUGUCUUCUUCCUCACUCCACCAUGUCCAUUUGUCACUCAUGCAAUCACAACUUUCUUCUCCUUCUUCAGUCAAAUCUGUCACCAAUCCUCACCCAAAGCUUCUUCAAGUUAACAAAAUCAGAUUAAUUAUUUACUUCACCAUCUUCCUCCCAACCACUGAUUUUAAACCUCCAAACUCCACUAUAAAUAGCCAUGGAGAUUCAACAUCAAGAACCCACCAACAAUAACCUUCAUCCUCUCUUCUCUCUCUAAACAGAAAUUCAGUCAAUAAUCGCCGGAAAAAUUGCAACAAAAAGAAACCCAAAGGAAAAUCCCAAAUUUCUUCUCUUUCUCCCCUCUGUGUCGACCCCCACAACCGACCACCGUCGGCCACCGCGCGCGCCACCUGCGCCGCGCACAAUCUCGCCCCCACCUCGUCACUCGCCGGUCAUUAGCCCGCCGCCGGAGAUCCGCGUCAGCACCCUCACGUUCGCACUCUCUCUCCUCGUCGCCCUCUCUCUCGCUCCUCUUCUCUUCGCGCGACGCUGCUGCACGCGCAGCACCGUCGAUGACCCGCGCGCGCCGAACCCCCGGAGACCACCGCCGGAGCUCAGACCGACGCCCCCCUGCUGUCCAUCUUCUACCUUCUCUUGUUUUGACAGUAAGAUUAGAAAGGAAAAGGGAUAUUACAAGCCUCCCCCGGCUAUCAAGUAUAAUAAUCGCGACUCGAGGUACCGAUGGGGAUGACGCCAUGGCUUAGCAGUGAGGAAAUGUUAUUAGAAUAAAUCAAACAUUUAUAGCUUUUGUAACUUAAGUAGUUACUUAGUUUAAUUAACACUAGCUUUCAUAUGCACGCGAUGCGUGCGUUAAUUUCAAAAUUUGUUAUUCUAUUAGAUACUCCAUUCGUACUUUAUUUAUGAUUAAAUUUAAAUGUGAAAAAUUCAACA